rnacentral:lncRNA from 10 species
UCCAACCCAGAGAGGGAAGGGGACUCACCCACAGUGACUCAGCAAGGUCACCACAGAGGAGGGAACAGAAUCUGGGAAUGUGGAGGGAUGGACCAAGCUGUGAGCCUCAGGGCCCUCGUCUGCAAAAUGAGGAAAUAAACACUGCCCAGGCAGUUUUGAAGGAAGAUGUAAAAGAACGACCCACAGCAUCUGGCCAAGAACAGGGGCUCCACAAAUAACAUCAAGGGGCCAGGCAGUAGCCGUCUGCACCCUGCUGUUCUCCAGAAGACCAAGCCCUACUCAGGCUCAGCAGCCACCCUUGCCCCUUUCUGUGGCCCACUCUGUGUCAUCGUCUGAGGAAUGGGGCCCAGAUGUGGUUUUUUUCCACCUGGCAGACACCUGCUGACAGCUUCUGUCGCUUGGCGGCUGUAAUUGCAGUGCUCUCUCCCCUUUAUGCCCUGCUAGGCACAGACUCCAUCUGCCUCUGCCAGGGAGUUUAUUAAAUAGUUUAUUAAAUCU